rnacentral:sRNA from 1 species
AUCAGUAAUAGUUUGAGAUUUCUAACAUAUUGUAUUUUGUGGGCUUAUAGAUUAAUAGAAUAGUUUUUUUUCUUUUUUUAAUCUUUUCAUUUGUGUUAAAAUCUGAUUUUCUGUUGAAAGGUUGAUGCCCAGCUACAGGUAGUAAGGAAACUGGAAGAGAAGGAGCAUCUGUUACAGAGCAACAUUGGCACAGGGGAGAAAGAGCUGGGUCUUAGGACCCAAGCCUUAGAGAUGAAUAAACGCAAGGCAAUGGAGGCAGCCCAGCUUGCAGAUGACCUCAAAGCACAACUGGAGUUGGCUCAGAAGAAGCUACAUGAUUUUCAGGAUGAGAUCGUGGAGAACAGUGUUACUAAAGAAAAGGACAUGUUCAAUUUCAAACGAGCCCAGGUAAAAGCAGUUGUCUUUUCUUGUCACCUUUUAGGUGUUUUCUGAGGUCGGAAGUGACCCAUAUCAUGAAAGAAUCAUUAGUCCAAUGUAUGUCAUUUCCUACUAGACUUGAGGAAGUUUGUUGAGGGAAGAGAGUAAGUCUGUUUUCUUCACUGCCAUAUCCUCAGACUCUUUUAUGGUGCCUCGCACCUAGUAGGCACAAAAUAAAUAUUUGUUAAAUUA